rnacentral:rRNA from 1 species
AGUGAACGCUGGCGGCGUGCUUAACACAUGCAAGUCGAACGGAUGAAAUAAGCUUGCUUAUUUCGUUAGUGGCGCACGGGUGAGUAAUGUAUAGCUAACCUGCCCUUUAGUGGGGGACAACAGUUGGAAACGACUGCUAAUACCCCAUACUCCUUCUUAUCACAAGGUAAGUUGGGAAAGAUUUAUUGCUAAAGGAUGGGGCUUUAUUGUAUCAGCUAGUUGGUGGGGUAAUGGCCUACCAAGGCUAUGACGCAUACCUGGUCUGAGAGGAUGAUCAGGCACACUGGAACUGAGACACGGUCCAGACUCCUACGGGAGGCAGCAGUGGGGAAUAUUGCACAAUGGGGGAAACCCUGAUGCAGCAACGCCGCGUGGAGGAUGACGCAUUUCGGUGUGUAAACUCCUUUUAUAAGGGAAGAUAAUGACGGUACCUUAUGAAUAAGCACCGGCUAACUCCGUG